rnacentral:rRNA from 1 species
GACGAACGCUGGCGGCGUGCUUAACACAUGCAAGUCGAACGGAAAGGCCCUGCUUUUGUGGGGUGCUCGAGUGGCGAACGGGUGAGUAACACGUGAGUAACCUGCCCUUGACUUUGGUAUAACUUCAGGAAACUGGGGCUAAUACCGGAUAGGAGCUCCUGCUGCAUGGUGGGGGUUGGAAAGUUUCGGCGGUUGGGGAUGGACUCGCGGCUUAUCAGCUUGUUGGUGGGGUAGUGGCUUACCAAGGCUUUGACGGGUAGCCGGCCUGAGAGGGUGACCGGCCACAUUGGGACUGAGAGACGGCCCAGACUCGUACGGGAGGCAGCAGUGGGGAAUAUUGCACAAUGGGCGGAAGCCUGAUGCAGCAACGCCGCGUGCGGGAUGACGGCCUUCGGGUUGUAAACCGCUUUCGCCUGUGACGAAGCGUGAGUGACGGUAAUGGGUAAAGAAGCACCGGCUAACUACGUG